GACGGAGGGUGCGAGCGUUGUUCGGAUUGACUGGGCGUAAAGGGCGUGUAGGCGGUCGGCCAAGUCUGGUGUGAAAGCCCGGGGCUCAGCUCCGGAAGUGCGCCGGAAACUAGCUGGCUGGAGCGCGGCAGAGGAGGGUGGAAUUCCUGGUGUAGCGGUGAAAUGCGUAGAUAUCAGGAGGAACACCGGCGGCGAAGGCGGCCCUCUGGACCGUUGCUGACGCUGAGACGCGAAAGCGUGGGGAGCAAACAGG
rnacentral:rRNA from 1 species